AUUUCACGAUAGUAGGAGCGAGUACGAAGCUUGGAGAAGUUGUGGAAUUAGUUCGAACGAUUUUAUUUUCGAAAUCGAACGUUAUUUAGGGGCUCGUGGAAAUUGACUUUUUAUACAUACGGAAUUUGGGAAAACUUCCUGCAUGAAAGUUGUAGGGCUCGUCGAUACGAUCUCGUGCAUAUGUGGAACACAAUAUUCGGAGUUCGUAUGAAUAAGUUAUGAAUAUUUGAAAUUUGGGAAUUUUCUAUAAAUAGGAAAAAUUUCUGAUUUUUUCAUUAAGGACGAAAAAAUCUAAUUUUUGCUAAACAGUCCCCGAAACCCUCCGUUCUCUCUCCUCUCCCACGCGGCCGAACCGCUCGACCCGACCCGGCCGAACGGCCCUCCUCCGGCGUCCUCCAGCCCCGGACCCGGACACCACCGUGAUCGCCGCUCCACGCCCAGACGCCCUCCGGUGUGGUCUUGGCCCGCCGCUGCCCCGAAAGCUGGAUCGAAGACACCCAGACGAGCGAAACCGACCCGGCCGGAAAACGUCGACGCCGGCGUUGCACGGGCCGAUCCUUCCCAUUUUCGUGAUCUCCUCUUCCCCCUGAUCAUCCCCAUGUAAGUCUUUCAUCACGAUUUUGAGUGUAGACCGCUAGAUCAAGGUUUGACUUUUUGAACGCCUCUGAUUCAAUCUAGGAUCCGAUCGUGCGGCCGAGAUUAAUCCAACUUCAACGCUUGAUCUAGGACGAUCUAGGCCGAACCAGGCUUAGCUCCAGGUAUGAAAGUUGAUCACCCUUUCAUUUUGAAGAAGUUUGUAGUUGACGACUUUUGCAUCAGAGGUGGUUGACCUUCGUUGACCGCCGCGUUGACCACCGUCUGACCUCCGCUUGUGGCGGCGGGUCGGACCUUAUUUUGAGUUUAUAUUAUCUGGACGAUGAUCUACGCAUCCAUACGAGCGUUUUGAUAUAUUACAAGGUUAUUUUAGAAAAUGUGGAUAAAUAAUGGAUUUACGUUUUGACGUUACUAUUUAACGUUUUUACGUUUUAUCUUCGGUUUACGAUCUGCGAAGAUCUGACCAUCGGUUUUACUUCAAAUUAUAACAUGUUGAUCGUAUGACUGUCCCGAUGACUUUGUGUGGUCAUGGGCGAAGAUCCGACCGUUGGAUCUUCGUAUAAAUGCAAAACAGUGAUUAGGGAGGCGAUUCGUGAGAAUCCGUCCGUCGGAUUUUUGUAUAAAUUUGUGAAGAUGUUAGUAAGGACGAUUCAGGAAGAUCCGACCGUUGGAUCUUCGUGAUGAUUUUUGGAGGGUGAUCCUAAAGGCGAUCCGUGAGGAUCCGACCGUUGGAUCAUCAUUUAAUUUCGAUCCGACCGUUGGAUUGUCGUUUAAGUAUGUUUUUGAGUUAUUGGCUAAAAUAAGGUCAUGUGUGAUUAGGUGAUUGACGGUCUCCCUUGGGUGAACGAUUUCGGUGUGUAUUGUGUUAAAUUGAAGACGCAGCGGGAAUAUCGAGCGGGUAAUCCUGCAGGUCAGGAGAAUCAGGACGGUGAUCGUGCGGGUUAGAGAAUUUGUUUUAGUUUUACAGCAAUUGUAAUUGUGAGGUGAGUUAUGCUCAUUUGAGCCUUACAAUAUAAUUUGGUGAGAGUGUGCUGUAAUAAACAAAUUUGAGAUUUGGUUUAUGUAAUAUCGAGCGAUGUGAGGUGUGGUUGUUUUGAGAAAAAAUUCAGGUUGUAUUUAUGUGAGUUGUAUUAAUUCAUGUUUCGGAUUUGGAUUUGUUAUUCAAAAUCCGGGGCGUGACACCAAUA